rnacentral:lncRNA from 1 species
CCAGAUAAGUCCGGUUUCUUCUGUGGAGGGUACGCAGUUAAAGCCUUGAUUUCCUGGAUCUGGUAACAUGGCAAAAGAUGCCAGUCUAAUUGAAGCCAACGGAGAACUAAAGGUCUUUAUAGACCAGAAUCUUAGUCCUGGGAAAGGUGUGGUGUCUCUUGUGGCUGUGCACCCAUCCACAGUGAACACACUGGGGAAGCAGCUUUUGCCAAAAACCUUCGGACAGUCCAAUGUCAAUAUCACACAGCAAGUGGUGAUUGGCACGCCUCAGAGACCUGCAGCAGCCAACACUAUUGUGGUAGGAAGCCCACACACUCCCAACACUCACUUUGUGUCCCAGAACCAGACGUCUGACUCCUCACCUUGGUCUGCUGGCAGACGCCUUUAGAACAGUGGUGCCUAGUGUGUGGUCCGGAUCAGACCCAUGCUGAUUUCUGCCCUUCGGAUGUCUGUCCGUCUUCCCAGACAUUUAAAGGCACAGGAAGCGGAACAGGAAAGGUGAGAAGAAUGGCAAAGGCCUGCGGCAUUUCUCCAUGAAGGUGUGUGAGAAGGUGCAGAGGAAAGGGACGACCUCCUACAAUGAGGUGGCCGACGAGCUGGUUGCCGAGUUCAGCGCCGCUGACA